AUUGAACGCUGGCGGCAUGCUUUAUACAUGCAAGUCGAACGGUAACAGGCCGCAAGGUGCUGACGAGUGGCGAACGGGUGAGUAAUGCAUCGGAACGUGCCCAGUCGUGGGGGAUAACGCAGCGAAAGUUGCGCUAAUACCGCAUACGAUCUAUGGAUGAAAGCGGGGGACCGUAAGGCCUCGCGCGAUUGGAGCGGCCGAUGUCAGAUUAGGUAGUUGGGGGGGUAAAGGCUCACCAAGCCGACGAUCUGUAGCUGGUCGGAGAGGACGACCAGCCACACUGGGACUGAGACACGGCCCAGACUCCUACGGGAGGCAGCAGUGGGGAAUUUUGGACAAUGGGCGCAAGCCUGAACCAGCGACGCCGCGUGGGGGAUGAAGGGGCUUUGCCUCGUAAACCUCUGUCGGAUGGGACGAAAGGUGGCUUUGAGCCACUGGGACGGUACCAUCAAAGAAAGGAUCGGCUAACUACGUGCCAGCCGCCGCAGUAACAC
rnacentral:rRNA from 1 species